UGCCAGCCGCCGCGGUAAGACGGAGGGUGCAAACGUUGUUCGGAAUCACUGGGCAUAAAGUGCACGUAGGCGGCUCAGUCAGUCAGAUGUGAAAGCCCCCGGCUCAACCGGGGAACUGCAUUUGAUAUUGCUGGGCUUGAGGAUGGUUGGGGUGAGUGGAACUCCUGGUGGAGUGGUGAAAUGUGUAGAUAUCAGGAGGAAUAUUGGUGGUGAAAGUGGCUUACUGGACCAUUUCUGAUGUUGAGGUGCGAAAGCUAGGGUAGCGAACGGGAUUAGAUA
rnacentral:rRNA from 1 species